GCAUCAUGAUCCAUGCUUGCGUCAAUGUAGCAUAUCCUCAGCUCUUCCCCUGCUUCAAUAUCACGAAGAGCCUUCAAUUUUGCGUUCACACUUUCUAUCCACAGAAUGUGUGCAUUGGGAUCAGUAAAAUCAUUUCGGAAGAUAAUGUUGCUGGCUGAAGUAUGUCCAGAGUUUCUGGAGUGGCCGCUCCAGAUAUAAUCGUGCAAGCCAAUCUCUUGACCAGAAGCGGAUACUUUAGGCCUUGAGUUCGGCAGUAUUCAUGAAAGCGUGACCAAUCUGCUUGCUUUUCUGUGUCGUAAAAAAUCUUGGAUUGUAG
rnacentral:misc_RNA from 1 species